rnacentral:rRNA from 1 species
UACGUAGGGUGCGAGCGUUAAUCGGAAUUACUGGGCGUAAAGCGUGCGCAGGCGGUUCGUUGUGUCGGCGGUGAAAGCCCCGGGCUUAACCUGGGAAUGGCCGUUGAAACUGUACGCUUGAGGCCGGGAGGGGGUAGCGGAAUUCCCAGUGUAGCGGUGAAAUGCGUAGAUACUGGGAGGAACACCAGUGGCGAAGGCGGCUACCUGGACCGGUUCUGACGCUGAGGCGCGAAAGCGUGGGGAGCAAACAGG